AGUCCUAGAAAUCAAUUCUUCUACUCUAGAAUCAUCACCUCCUCUAAAAUAAAAAUUAUCCUUGAUCACACCUGAGUAUGCAUGUUUAGAAUCAAGUGACACCCUUCCAGCACCCAUUACUUCAAACUCAACUCCUAAUCCAAAAACUCAGUUUAUGAGCAUUUUAGAAGAACAAAUAGGAGAAAUUCUCAACAAACAAGAGUCUGUGAAUUGGUUUGUGAAUUAUCUUCUUAAUAUUGGAAAGAUGAAACAGAGAAAAAAUGAGAUUGUAAACUACUUUUUGGAGAUUGACAACAAAAUACUGAAAUUUAUUGUGGGCCAUCUUCCUGAGAUUGUCAAUCCAAAAUCAUUGAAAUUUAUCAAUCCAAUAUUUGACAUGGGGUAGGUGAGAUGAACUGAACUACAUUGUAUCUAGCUGAAGAUGAUAAACUUAGCACUUUCUAGGAGAUAACCUAGCUUUUGCUUUCUUUUGCAUUUUGUUUAGGUUAAUUGAGUCUUGUGUAGCAUCUCUUGUAGGAAUUUGAAGACAAUAUUGGCUAAAUUGGAGGAGAAUCAAUUUUAAAAAGACUUCUAGA
rnacentral:lncRNA from 1 species